AUGGACCCCAACACUUGGGUUAGGGCAUAUCAACAAGAGUUCCCCAAGUGUGAUAUUCUUCUCAAUAAUGCUUGUGAAGUGUUUAACAAGUACAUUCUUGAGGCCAGAGAGCUCCCCAUAUUGUCAUUGAUCAUGACAAUAAAAAAGCAGUUGAUGACAAGGUUCUACAACAAGAGAGAGGAAGCAGAAACAUGGGAUGGCACUGUUCGCCCCAAAAUUAAGAAAAGACUUGAGAAGAAUGAUGAUUUGUCAGCUACAUGUCAUGCAUCAAAUGCAGGGGAUGGAAUAUUCCAGGUUGAUAACAAAGGGAGAUCUUACAUAGUGGACAUAAAAGCUUUAAGUUGUACUUGCAAAAGGUGGGACCUCAAUGGCAUACCAUGCCAUCAUUCUGUUGUUUGCUGCAAAGAUAAGAGAAUUGAGCCCGAGGACCUAGUUGACAAAUGCUACAUCAUUGCCUCAUUUCUGAAAGCCUACCAGCCUAUCAUCAUGCCAAAUAGAGAUGAGAGAGAGAGUGGGAAAAGAUGCAUGGUCCAGUGA
rnacentral:rRNA from 1 species